rnacentral:rRNA from 1 species
UCCGUAGGGUGCGAGCGUUGUCCGGAAUUAUUGGGCGUAAAGAGCUUGUAGGCGGUCUGUCGCGUCUGCUGUGAAAAUCCGGGGCUCAACCCCGGACUUGCAGUGGGUACGGGCAGACUAGAGUGUGGUAGGGGAGACUGGAAUUCCUGGUGUAGCGGUGAAAUGCGCAGAUAUCAGGAGGAACACCGAUGGCGAAGGCAGGUCUCUGGGCCAUAACUGACGCUGAGAAGCGAAAGCAUGGGGAGCGAACAGG